ensembl:lincRNA Gm32391 predicted gene, 32391
UAAGGAUCAAGAUUCUAGUUAUCCUCAUAGUCCAGAGGGUCGGACAAGAGGACCAGAAGUUCAAAGUCAUCUUCUGCUGCAUAAAUCUGAGGCUAAGCUAGCUCCAUGAGACCUUGCCUCAGAACCCCAAAGAGACCUUUUCAACCUAGCUUCUUUGGGCCUAUAUGGUGGAGGUGGCCGCAACCAAGAGAAAACGAUAUAUAGAGAAUGGUGUUGGCUUUGUUCUGGCAAAACAGAGAUUCAGACAAAGGCCAGAAGAUAAUGGUGGUGCUCCUGAAUAGAGGUCCCCUGGUUCAAACGUCCAUCUACUGGAACAAGGUCAAUGAUCCUCCAGGGACUCUCAACUCCCUAUCUACGCACUCUCUACAGCAAAACAUCCUGUGCUUGGGAAAGUCUGAGCUGAACCCAGCUCCUGUGGCUUCUGCUCAAUCUUAGUUCCUUGUUUGCAAGAAUGAGAGGCAAACAGCAAGCCUUGUGCAUCUUUGUAUAGAUAGAAAACAACCCUCCCAACCCCCCAUUUUACAGUAUUUGGGUUUGGCU